UAUUGGGNGUAAAGCGCGCGCAGGCGGAUAGGUCAGUCUGUCUUAAAAGUUCGGGGCUUAACCCCGUGAUGGGAUGGAAACUGCCAAUCUAGAGUAUCGGAGAGGAAAGUGGAAUUCCUAGUGUAGCGGUGAAAUGCGUAGAUAUUAGGAAGAACNCCAGUGGUGAAGGCGACUUUCUGGACGAAAACUGACGCUGAGGCGCGAAAGCCAGGGGAGCGAACGGGAUUAGAUACCCCGGUAGUCCUGGCCGUAAACGAUGGGUACUAGGUGUAGGAGGUAUCGACCCCUUCUGUGCCGGAGUUAACGCAAUAAGUACCCCGCCUGGGGAGUACGACCGCAAGGUUGAAACUCAAAGGAAUUGACGGGGGCCCGCACAAGCGGUGGAGUAUGUGGUUUAGUUCGACGCAACGCGAAGAACCUUACCAGGUCUUGACAUUGAUGGACAGAACCAGAGAUGGUUCCUCUUCUUCGGAAGCCAGAAAACAGGUGGUGCACGGUUGUCGUCAGCUCGUGUCGUGAGAUGUUGGGUUAAGUCCCGCGACGAGCGCAACCCCUAUCUUAUGUUGCCAGCACUUUGGGUGGGGACUCAUGAGAGACUGCCGCAGACAAUGCGGAGGAAGGCGGGGAUGACGUCAAAUCAUCAUGCCCCUUAUGACCUGGGCUACACACGUACUACAAUGGGAGUUAAUAGACGGAAGCGAGAUCGCGAGAUGGAGCAAACCCGAGAAACACUCUCUCAGUUCGGAUCGUAGGCUGCAACUCGCCUACGUGAAGUCGGAAUCGCUAGUAAUCGCAGGUCAGCAUACUGCGGUGAAUACGUUCCCGGGCCUUGUACACACCGCCCGUCACACCACGAAAGUCGGAAGUGCCCAAAGCCGGUGGGGUANCCUUCGGGA
rnacentral:rRNA from 1 species